UUAAAAAAAUUGACCCGCUUAUGCCCUACCUCAAAGAAUGAAAAUCGUGACUCUCUUCCUCAAAUUUCAUCGCUCUCAAUUUUCUUCUCCAUUCUUCAUUUGGGUUCUGACUUCGAUUUUACAAAUCAUGAUUGAAUCGUUGUUUUUUUAAGACUAUUCUUCCAUAAUAUUUCAUUUUCAGGCAAUAAUGACAUCUCAAAAUGAUGAGAAUCUGCUUGCUUUAUCUUCUAAUGGUAUUUCCUUAGAGGUUGAGAGUCCGAGGCCUUCACAAAUUGAUGAAGUUGUUGUAUCGAGAAAAAUAAAGAGUCUAAAGCAUGGAAGCAUUUCUAGUUAGUGUAUGUUGAUGGUGUUCCAUAUGGUCAGUGUAAGUAUUGUAAUUCUCGAUAUAAAAAUGCUAAAAAUUAUGGGACGAAGUCUAUGUGGAAUCAUUUAUGUAAGUGCCCUAAUAAGUCAAAAAGUGAAAUAGGGGGUGAUGAUGAAGGACACUAUUUUGAUCAAGAUAUUUGACGAAAACAACUAUCACAUGCCAUUAUUUUACACAA